CACACGAUUGUGUUGUAGAUGACGUGGAUGCAGUACUGCUACGAUUCUGCAACGAUGGCAAUUGCUUCGGAGGCACACACAAAUCACAACACAACGCACAUGAAUCUUGAAGGCGCCUUCUCGAGGAACUUGAUGCCGAAGAUUAGGUGAUCUGAUACGGUAAUGGGAGUUGCAGCUUCAAGCAAGUUCUCAAACGAUUCGAUAUGCUGCACUGCUUUUAAUGUUGCGGAGAUCGAGAUGCGACGGAGCGGCGGAGACGUGGUUUGAUUUGCAAAUUGCCUGAGAUACGGUCGGAGAGAGCUCAUGUUCUCAUCCUCAUGAAUUUUCGUAUUCUAGUGCAAAUGAGAAAUUGAAAUUCUCAGCGAUGGCGUCCAGCUUGUUCAUUCCCACCCAGAGCCUUCUUCCCACUCGAGAAUUUUUUGUCGCUCUUCCUAGAAUGCUUCCUCGCCAUUAUUCUCUCGUCAUCCACGCUGCUAAACGCUCUACUCCAAAUGCCACGCCUCCCGUGCACCGCCCUUCCAUUACCUCCAUUGUUAAAACCCUGACUGCUGGCCAUGUCUCUGUCGUCCAGGCUCUUCAGCGCCAGGCGCCAUAUAUGAGGCAAGCUGAUUGGUUUGCGCUUUUGGCAGCCCUUGGGAAACAAAGCAAAUGGACGCUCAUUCUUGAGACUUUCAGGUGGAUGCAAGAACAGAAAUGGUACAGACUAGACAAUGGAUUCCAUUCCAAGCUUAUUGUAACCAUGGGGAAGGCAAAGCAGCUACGGAUGGCUGUGUGGUUCUUCAAGGAAGUGAAACGAAAUGGUCAUCGACCUGACACGUCGUUGUAUAAUGCACUUAUAACUGCUCACCUUCAAGCUGAAGACAAGAGGAUAGGGUUUGCAAAGGCUUUGCAGCUCUUCGAAGAAAUGAAAACAAAAGCCAAUUGCAAACCGGAUUUGGUGACAUACAACAUUCUUCUGAGGGGGAGUGCACAAGUACGUGACAUCCUCCAAGUGGAGCGAUUCUUCGAGGAAAUGGAGGUAGAGAAGAUACAUCCUAAUCUAAUAUCAUACAAUGGGGUCAUUGGCGCUUAUGGCAAGGCUGGAGACUUGGUGCAAAUGGAAAAGACGUUGUUUACCAUGAGAAUCCUGAAACACAUAAAGCCUGAUACCGUGACGUCUAACACUCUCAUUGAAUCUUAUGGCUACGGGCGGGACUUCGUUAAGAUGGAGCAAGUGUUUAAGAGCAUGACAGCUGCCAAGAAUAAACAAACUAGUAGACCUGACGCGAAAACUUAUAACAUCCUAAUGGCCAGUUAUGCUCGGUUAGGUGAGGUGGGAAAGAUGGAAUGGUCAUGCAGCAGGAUGGAAGCCGCAAAUUUCAAGCUGAAUCUUCGAAGUUAUGAGAUACUUAUGACUGGAUAUGGUGAGGUCGGCGCGAUUGCAAGUAUGAGCGAGUGCUUUUAUCAAAUGCUGCAGGCUGGCAUGCAGCCUCAGAAGUCCACACUGAAUGCAAUGCUCAGAGCAUACUGUAAGCACAAUUGCUUCGAAGAAGCAGAGGAGCUUUUGAACGACGCCUUGGGGUGGCAAACCCGUCCGCGAACGUCAUCGUACCUGAUUCUCUUGAGGGCCUAUGCCAAAGAGAGGCGAUCAAGUGACGUAGAGAUGCUGACGGAACGCAUGGCAAAAGUUGGUAUUGCACCAUGUGCAGCUACAUUUUUAGAAGCUCUUGAAUCGUUCAGCUUGUCAUGCGGGUAUGAGGAAAAACUAACAGAAUCUGCUGCGGAGGCUCAAUCAGAUGGUGAAGAUGAAGAAGAUGCUUUUGAUGCAUUUUAGAGCAAUAAAGCAUCUGCUUCCCACACACUGGCUUUCUCGAAUAGUGAUUAUUUGAAAUAGUCGUUCGUGAUCUUUCCCCACUUUUUGGUUAUACUGCGUGCGCCUGGUCUGGACAUGCUCAGGUACAACUAGCUGGAAUUCUACAGGUACUCAGGAGUGACCAUCGAGUAUUGAUGUAUCGACUCUCCCCGCUCUAGAAUUACAAGAAGAUUCCAUGAUGAUCAGAAAAUCAGUUGUCACCUGUGAGAGAUAAAGCCUCACGCCUUUGCCUCCGUCUUCUGCUCAUAACCCUCCUUUUAGAUCGCGUCCACCGAGCAACUCCAGGUUUUGAUUGUGUCCAGCCGCUACCAAAUGCGAAGCUUCUGCACUAGUGCGCUCAUGAUUUGCAUGUCGAACAAUAUCGUUUAGGACAUUAACAUUGUGUAUUACCUUCGUAAAUAUUUCGCAUCUGAUAUUGGCAUGUGCCUUGCUGCUAAGCACCUCUACAUUUACACCAGUGUCCAAGCUGCAGAUCGGCGGGAAACGAAAUAUGCCUAGAGUGGCAUCCAAAUCUUAGGUUUCAUCCAAAUUUCUGUAAUUGAAUUGGUGCGGUACAAUUGGAGCCCUUGUGUACUUGUAAGCUGAUCACACUCAGUUCCAGACAUCUGAUCCUGCAUGACAGCCUUUUAAAAUGUU